rnacentral:misc_RNA from 1 species
GAUGUUGAUCUUCUUCUUUGCGACCUUCAAGCCACUAACAUACAACAAGACGUACGAGUACCCUCCGUAUGCACAGGGCCUGGGCAUGUGCAUGGCAUUCGCAUCCAUGAUCUGCAUCCCGCUGACGGCACUCUACAGGAUAGCUAGGGCCAGGGGGACAUUGGCUGAGCGUUGGGCAUUUGUGACUACACCACGGAACCGACCAAAGGAGGCCAAAAUUGCUCAUCUAACUUACGCCGUCAUCCCAACCUAUGAUGUUGAAAACGUGUCCAAAGUUCCCACAGCAAUGCAAAAUGGCAGCGACCACGCCCAUCCCAAAGAAAAAGCCACGAACAACAACGCCACCCCUAUGCUCUCUCCGUCCGAUCUAAUGGCUAAUGGAAAUGCUGUAUAAUACAUUCUUCUUGUUUACUUUGGUGCGAUGGAGGGCGGUGACGACUCCAGUAUUCUCCGAAUCCACUCAGAAACACGUCCGCAAUGCUGGAGAUUCUUGGUCCACAAUCAGUCACAGCUUUAUGUCUUCACGAGAUACAAUAUUUACUCUUCAGUCCAGGUCUUAUGACCUGCAAAAAGUUUAAGUUGAUUGUUUUUUGCAAAAGCUGUUAUUUUUAUUGUGAAAGGCCUACAUAGUUGUAUACUAGUAUAUCUAGUAGACUAAGAUCUGUACAUUUACUUACACUCUCUUUUGCUCUUGUUUUGUAUCAGAUUUCUUUUGCUCUUGUUUUGUAUCAGAUUUUAUAUAGAAGUAAAAUGGUAUAGUAAAACUUGGAAGUAUUAUAAUGUGCUGUACUUAACAAAAGAUUUUAAAAAGUAGAUAUCAUGUAUUUUUCUAGAUUCAAACAAAACACCUUUUUUUUUUUUUCAAAUUUCAUUUAUGGAGCCUACAUGAGCGGUGCCUCAUAGAUAUAUAUUGUCUUUUACUGUAAAAUCUUUAUGAAGUACGAAAACAAUACAUAGAAUGAAUAUCUAUAAUAAUAGAUGUAUUGUAAUGAAAAGUGACAGAUAAAGAACGUAUCCAAAUCUGGGAAAAAUGUGGCUGCAACUCUCAGAAUUUUCUCACAAGUGGACAGAGAGGGAGAGAAGAGUGAUUGCCACCUGGAUUUUGAUGAGUAAUCAUUUCUUUUCAAGAAAUAUGCCAUUUCCAGUACUUUCUUGAACAGAACAUUUUGUUUACUACUGGGCUUUUAGAAACUAUUCUUUAUUUGUCACUGAAAAUGAAUGGCUUUCUCCUUAUAAGCAAAACGUAAUUUCACUUGUUUUCAUUGAUUGGCAUCAUUGAUUUUUUUUGCCUGAAAUAUUUAAGUUAUUUUUUAGAAUUAAUUGUGCCAGUGAACACAAAUGUAAACAAUAUUUUACAUAAAGACAUGUAGCAGUUGAUAGUUGAUAUUGAAUGAACUGGCAUGUUGCGAUUAAAUGAUAUUGGGGUUUGUCUCCCAUGGUGGAAAGAUACAUCUUGAACUUUUUUUUUGUAAAUACAGCAAAUGACUGUACUUAAAUUUCAGAAAAUAUUUUGAUAUUUGAUCAUGUUCAGGCUAUGCAGUCACCCUUAAAAAAGUGACUCUUAUAGUGCUUGAAAAAAUCCUGGAAAUUUCUACAUUUUUCACGUUAUCAUCAGCAUUGUAAUUUUGUCAGUGAUUUUAGAUAUGGUGUGCAUGGGCAUUUGUGACCACACCACGGAACCGACCAAAGGAGGCCAAAAUUGCUCAUGUAACUUACGCAGUCAUCCCAACCUAUGACGUUGAAAAUGUGUCCAAAGUGUUCAAAUUUCAAGGAAUUUUUUCUCUGUUAUAUGCUCAAGGUGUCUUUGAAAAUAUGAAAUAGAGAAAUUACUAAGCAAUAAAAGUAUCAUCAUAAUAAAUAACCUUACAUAUAGCUUCAAAAGCAAGUAGUUUUGCAGAAAUCGUUACUCCUGUUGAAACAGUAGUAUAUAUUUCAAAGUAAAUACAAGAGCAGGGGACAUGCUCUCAAAACUUUCUCAAAUUUUAAAUUCUUUGAAAAAUAAGGUAUGUUAUGCAAGCCCUCAGCAGGCCGAAUGCACAUACUAGUAUUUUUAAUGCCAGGUGGUGGAAUAUUGCUAGAAAAACCAAUAGAAUUUAUCAGAAAUUAAAGUGACUUCAGAAAAAGUUUCAAGCUUAAAUAAUGCAUGAUCUUUAGAGAAAAUGUCCCUUGCAUCAAAGGCAGAAUGCCCACUGUUAUAUAAACUCAGUAUUAUAUGAUCGGUCCUGUGAUCAUGAUAAUGAAAACUAAAUAAUGUUGUGACUGUUUUAUCGUGGUGUGUAACUCGAAGUUUACUGAUUUUUGCUGUUACCUGAUAUAUAUACCUGUAUAUAUAGAUGUUUAGCCUGCACGUGUGUUAGAUGUGUAGCUAUUAAUUAUCAUUAUCCUCUUUCUUUGCAACUGUGUGUGUAGUGAUAUUUAUUUAUUUUUUUUACCAUUUAUUUGUGUUGUUGGGCUUUGAGUGAAUGACAUACUGAUACUUUAAGAAAUAUAGUGUUAAGAAAAGAUACUUGGUUCAAUGUAAGAAAGCUUUUUGUAUCUUGUACCCUCUCAAGUAAUAUGGAAAAAUAUUUUAUUUAUUAUGUGUAUUCUAAUAUGGAAAAAUAUUUUAUUUUUUAUGUGUAUUCGCUUUAUGGUAUCUUCUCUCCAGCUAUCUUCCUACUGGUAGAAGCCAUGAUUGAUCAGUUAUACACUUAUAAAAAUACAAUAAUGUCAUUUAUUUUUUGUGAAUGUCUUUUAACUCUGCUUUGAACCUUUAACAUUGAUAUACAUUAAGUUAACUUAACCACUAAUGCCUUUAUUAAUGUCUCAAGCUGCAGAACUUCCUCAAUUUAUUUAAAUUUUUCCUUAGAAAGGUCUGAAAUUUUGUUGUCUGUAUUGAAGUGUUGUGAAUGCUUACGUAAUUUCAUAUAUUUUAUUUUUUGCAGUGUUGUAAUGCAUGUUUUAGUAGUUCUUAUUUUAUUUAUUAUUUUUGUUA